rnacentral:misc_RNA from 1 species
GAUGAAGAACGCAGCGAAAUGCGAUAAGUAGUGUGAAUUGCAGAAUUCAGUGAAUCAUCGAAUCUUUGAACGCACAUUGCGCCCCUUGGUAUCCCGAGGGGCAUGCCUGUUCGAGCGUCAUUUCACCACUCAAGCCUGGCUUGGUGUUGAGCGACGUCCCCUUUGGGGACGCGCCUCGAAACGCUCGGCGGCGUGGCACCGGCUUUAAGCGUAGCAGAAUCUUUCGCUUUGGAAGUCGGGGCCCCGUCUGCCGGAAGACCUACUCGCAAGGUUGACCUCGGAUCAGGCAGGGAUACCCGCUGAACUUAAGCAUAUCAAUAAGCGGAGGA